rnacentral:misc_RNA from 1 species
GAUGAAGAACGUAGCGAAAUGCGAUACGUAAUGUGAAUUGCAAAUUCAGUGAAUCAUCGAGUCUUUGAACGCACAUUGCGCCCCCUGGUAUUCCGGGGGGCAUGCCUGUCCGAGCGUCAUUGCUGCCCUCAAGCACGGCUUGUGUGUUGGGCCCCGUCCUCCGAUCCCGGGGGACGGGCCCGAAAGGCAGCGGCGGCACCGCGUCCGGUCCUCGAGCGUAUGGGGCUUUGUCACCCGCUCUGUAGGCCCGGCCGGCGCUUGCCGAUCAACCCAAAUUUUUAUCCAGGUUGACCUCGGAUCAGGUAGGGAUACCCGCUGAACUUAAGCAUGUCAAUAAGCGGAGGA